GCGGGUCGUCCCGUAGCUAACGCGUUAAGUUCCGCGCCUGGGGAGUACGGUCGCAAGACUGAAACUCAAAGGAAUUGACGGGGGCCCGCACAAGCGGUGGAACAUGUGGUUCAAUUCGACGCAACGCGAAGAACCUUACCUGGGCUUGAACCGCUACUGACCAACGGUAGAAAUAUCGUCUUCCCGCAAGGGACAGUAGUAGAGGUGCUGCAUGGCUGUCGUCAGCUCGUGCCGUGAGGUGUUGGGUUAAGUCCCGCAACGAGCGCAACCCUUAUUCGUAGUUGCCACCCGCAAGGGGGAACUCUACGAGGACUGCUCCGGAUAACGGAGAGGAAGGUGGGGAUGACGUCAAGUCAGCACGGCCUUUAUGUCCAGGGCUACACACGUGUUACAAUGCACGGUACAGACUGUUGCGAACCCGCGAGGGGGAGCUAAUCGGAUAAAACCGUGCUCAGUUCGGAUUGCAGUCUGCAACUCGACUGCAUGAAGCUGGAAUCGCUAGUAAUGGCGUAUCAGAUCGACGCCGUGAAUACGUUCCCGGGCCUUGUACACACCGCCCGUCACAUCACGAAAGUGAGUUGUACUAGAAGUCGCGCAGCU
rnacentral:rRNA from 1 species